rnacentral:rRNA from 1 species
UACGUAGGGUGCGAGCGUUAAUCGGAAUUACUGGGCGUAAAGUGUGCGCAGGCGGCCGCGCAAGUCGAGUGUGAAAGCCCCGGGCUUAACUUGGGAAUUGCGCUCGAAACUACGUGGCUGGAGUGUGGCAGAGGAAGGUGGAAUUCCAGGUGGUAGCGGGUGAAAUGCGUAGAGAUCUGGAAGGAACACCGAUGGCGAAGGGCAGGC